rnacentral:rRNA from 1 species
AGUUUGAUCCUGGCUCAGGAUGAACGCUAGCUACAGGCUUAACACAUGCAAGUCGAGGGGAAACGAUAUUGGAAGCUUGCUUCCGAUAGGCGUCGACCGGCGCACGGGUGAGUAACGCGUAUCCAACCUGCCCACCACUUGGGGAUAACCUUGCGAAAGUAAGACUAAUACCCAAUGAUAUCUCUAGAAGACAUCUGAAAGAGAUUAAAGAUUUAUCGGUGAUGGAUGGGGAUGCGUCUGAUUAGCUUGUUGGCGGGGUAACGGCCCACCAAGGCGACGAUCAGUAGGGGUUCUGAGAGGAAGGUCCCCCACAUUGGAACUGAGACACGGUCCAAACUCCUACGGGAGGCAGCAGUGAGGAAUAUUGGUCAAUGGGCGAGAGCUUGAACCAGCCAAGUAGCGUGCAGGAUGACGGCCCUAUGGGUUGUAAACUGCUUUUAUAAGGGAAUAAAGUGAGUCUCGUGAGACUUUUUGCAUGUACCUUAUGAAUAAGGACCGGCUAAUUCCGUGCCAGCAGCCGCGGUAAUACGGAAGGUCCGGGCGUUAUCCGGAUUUAUUGGGUUUAAAGGGAGCGUAGGCCGGAGAUUAAGCGUGUUGUGAAAUGUAGACGCUCAACGUCUGCACUGCAGCGCGAACUGGUUUCCUUGAGUACGCACAAAGUGGGCGGAAUUCGUGGUGUAGCGGUGAAAUGCUUAGAUAUCACGAAGAACUCCGAUUGCGAAGGCAGCUCACUGGAGCGCAACUGACGCUGAAGCUCGAAAGUGCGGGUAUCGAACAGGAUUAGAUACCCUGGUAGUCCGCACGGUAAACGAUGGAUGCCCGCUGUUGGUCUGAAUAGGUCAGCGGCCAAGCGAAAGCAUUAAGCAUCCCACCUGGGGAGUACGCCGGCAACGGUGAAACUCAAAGGAA